rnacentral:rRNA from 1 species
UACGUAGGGUGCAAGCGUUAUCCGGAAUUACUGGGCGUAAAGCGUGCGUAGGUGGUUUGUUAAGUCUGUUGUGAAAGCCCCGGGCUCAACCUGGGAAUGGCAAUGGAUACUGGCAGGCUAGAGUGCGGUAGAGAGUAGUGGAAUUCCCGGUGUAGCGGUGAAAUGCGUAGACAUCGUAAGGAAGACCAGUGGCGAAGGCGAAUCUCUGGACAGUUACUGACACUGAGGCACGAAGGCCAGGGGAGCAAACGGG